rnacentral:rRNA from 1 species
AGAGUUUGAUCCUGGCUCAGGAUGAACGCUGGCGGUCUGCUUAACACAUGCAAGUCGAACGGGCUCUUUCGGGAGCUAGUGGCGGACGGGUGAGUAACGCGUGAGAAUCUGCCAAAAGGACUGGGACAACCACUGGAAACGGUGGCUAAUACCGGAUGAGCCGCAACGUAAAAGAGGAAACUCGCCUUUUGAGGAGCUCGCGUCUGAUUAGCUAGUUGGUGAGGUAAGAGCUCACCAAGGCAUCGAUCAGUAGCUGGUCUGAGAGGAUGAUCAGCCACACUGGGACUGAGACACGGCCCAGACUCCUACGGGAGGCAGCAGUGGGGAAUUUUCCGCAAUGGGCGAAAGCCUGACGGAGCAAGACCGCGUGAGGGAGGAAGGCUCUUGGGUUGUAAACCUCUUUUGUCAGGGAAGAACACAAUGACGGUACCUGAAGAAUCAGCAUCGGCUAACUCCGUGCCAGCAGCCGCGGUAAUACGGGGGAUGCAAGCGUUAUCCGGAAUUAUUGGGCGUAAAGCGUCCGCAGGUGGCUAAUCAAGUCUGCUGUCAAAGGUUGGGGCUUAACCCCAAAAAGGCAGUGGAAACUGAGAAGCUAGAGUGCAGUAGGGGUAGAGGGAAUUCCCGGUGUAGCGGUGAAAUGCGUAGAGAUCGGGAAGAACAUCGGUGGCGAAAGCGCUCUACUGGACUGCAACUGACACUCAGGGACGAAAGCUAGGGGAGCGAAUGGGAUUAGAUACCCCUGUAGUCC